GCUGGGAUAGCUCAGUUGGUAGACCAUGGGACACUUAAUUUCAGGGCUUUGGGUUUGAGCCCCAGGUUGGGCA